rnacentral:rRNA from 1 species
AUUGAACGCUGGCGGCAGGCCUAACACAUGCAAGUCGAACGAGUGGCGGACGGGUGAGUAAUGUCUGGGAAACUGCCCGAUGGAGGGGGAUAACUACUGGAAACGGUAGCUAAUACCGCAUACCAUCGGAUGUGCCCAGAUGGGAGUAGCUUGUAGGUGAGGUAACGGCUCACCUAGGCGAAGAUCCCUAGCUGGUCUGAGAGGAUGACCAGCCACACUGGAACUGAGAAACGGUGCAGACGCCGACGGGAGGCAGCAGUGGGGAAGAUGGGACAAGGGGCGCAAGCCUGAUGCAGCCAUGCCGGGUGUAUGAAGAAGGCCUUCGGGUUGUAAAGUACUUUCAGCGGGGAGGCGUUACCCGCAGAAGAAGCACCGGCUAACUCCGUGCCAGCAGCCGCGGUAAUAC